ACCCACCUUGGGCUAUGUGAUAAAUCUUUUGCAGCCAGUCAGUGAAUAGCUCCAAGUACUCAGAAAGUUACCUGCUAUCUGUAAAUAUCCCACUGGUGAGUCAUUUUGUCACUAUGUGUGUGAGUGUAAGUGUGCCCACUAAUAGUGGACUAACAGCCAUUUGUUGGUAUGAACCUUCCUUGUUCCCAGUGUCUGCUGGUAUGGUCUGACUGGUUACCAUUUCUCGAGCCUCCAUCUGCAGCUCCUCCACCCGCUGCUCCUGGGCCGCUACCAGCUUCUUCAGCUCCUCAUCUUUCAGCUACAAUGACAUAGGAGCUGGACCUUAUGAAACGACUUGGGGUUGGAUUGACCUCCUCUCAGCCACAACACCAUCCACUCACGCUCAGAGGUCUCUCUUUUUAGCAUCAUUUUAUGGCUGUAACCCUGGUGACAUUUGGUCCUGGCUUUCCCGAAUCCUUAAUGUCUGCGUGACAGUUUAGCGUGAGGGUAGCUAUGGAACACAGACAGAGUUGCGAGUGCCUGAGCAGCUGACCUGCAUGCAGCCGCGUAAGGCCUCCAUGUGCUGGUGGGGUGAGAUUCACGGAAGCCUAGGCCUUACCUGCUGAAGGCCUUACCUGCUGAAUUUCCUGUUCCCUAAUAGAAGCCUGCUCAGAUUUCAGCAGCUCCAGCUUCUGCUCCUAAAGACAAAUGCACAGUCAUCGGCGUCACGUGUACAGUCACCUCUGUCACAAUGGGCACCGUCACAUGUACAUUCAUUGGCGUCGCAGCUAUCGUUGUCACAUGUACAUUCAUUGGCGUCGCAGCUAUCGUUGUCACAUGUACAGUCAUUGACAUCAUAGUGGGCACCUUUACAUACAGUAUACAGUCAUCGGCGUCACCAUGUGCAAUAUCACAUAUACAGUCAUCGCUGUCACAGUGUCCAACGUCACAUGUACAGUCAUUGCCGUCAUAGUGGGCACCAAUCACAUGUUCAAUCACUGCUGUUACAGUCAGUACCGUCACAUGUACAACCCUCGCAGACACAUGUGUAUGGGUCAAUGAUGUGAUACUAAUUUUUUUUGUCUGUUUUUGUUAAAUUUAAAAAUGUUAAAAAUGAAAAAAUGAUUGAAAUGAUCAUUGAAAAUGAACUUCAAAACUAUCUGCAUACAUACUUUCUUGAGGGCCUAGUCUAAAAUUUCUGGUUUUAAUCAAUUUUGAGAGAAUAUUUGAUGGACGAUGGCAAGAAUGUCAAUGUGGUGUAAUCGUAAAAACUUUGAACCAAAUAAGUUGUUUUAAAAAGGUAAAAUUCUCAAUAACACACCCUUUCGAUUAGUUUGGUAUAAGCUUACAUUAGAACUAUUUAAUGGGGAAUAAAAGUAGCAGAACCCCUUUGUUCUGAAUAUCAUAAUUAAUUUGGGUAAUCAUGUUGCUCAGGUUAACGUCCAAGUGUCAAGGUGGUGAAACCGCCAUUCGAGGAGCUGUUUUAUUCAUAUGAUGCAUGAAAAUACUGUGACAGGUAAUAAUAUCACAGAGAAGGACCCCCGGUGACCGUAACUGCUACAUGCCAAGGUUAUUAACUCUUAUUAAAAUAUCAGAUAAUUUGAGAUUUUUAGGGUAUGGUUGGGUCUGCCUAGGUUUAAAUGUCAAGAGGAGAACACUGACAAUUCAUCAUAAUUAUAAAAAAUUGUAUUUACUUUAAAAAUAUGUCAGAAAUAUUCACACUAAGGCCACAUGGUUACAUUGGUGUAAAUGAUAAUGUGUUAAAAUUGAAUUUAAAUUGAAUUGUCAAAUGGGGUAACCAAUUACAAGCCUCUCUAUUUUACAACAAAUAUUAGUAGCUUAUUAUGCUGAUUAAAUGUAAUAUAAACCUACCAUGUGGAACUAU